AGUCGAUGGGAAGUUGGUUAAUAUUCCAACACCUUUUGUUACUGCGAUGGGGGGACGGAGAAGGCUAGGCCAGCGCGGCGUUGGUUGUCCGCGUUCAAGCGAGUAGGGAGAUCUCUUAGGUAAAUCCGGGGGGUCAAUUCCGAGACGCGAUAACGAGCUGUCAAGGCUUCGGUCUGACGGUGAAGUGGUUGAUGCCAUGCUUCCAGGAAAAGCCUCUAAGCUUCAGGUAACAAGGGACCGUACCCCAAACCGACACAGGUGGUCAGGUAGAGAAUACCAAGGCGCUUGAGAGAACUCGGGUGAAGGAACUAGGCAAAAUGGUACCGUAACUUCGGGAGAAGGUACGCCGCUUGGGGUGAUCGGACUUGCUCCGUGAGCUCCGGGCGGUCGAAGUGACCAGGUGGCUGCGACUGUUUAUUAAAAACACAGCACUCUGCAAACACGAAAGUGGACGUAUAGGGUGUGACGCCUGCCCGGUGCCGGAAGGUUAAUUGAUGGGGUCAGCCGCAAGGCGAAGCUCUUGAUCGAAGCCCCGGUAAACGGCGGCCGUAACAAUAACGGUCCUAAGGUAGCGAAAUUCCUUGUCGGGUAAGUUCCGACCUGCACGAAUGGCGUAACGAUGGCCACACUGUCUCCACCCGAGACUCAGUGAAAUUGAACUCGCUGUGAAGAUGCAGUGUACCCGCGGCUAGACGGAAAGACCCCGUGAACCUUUACUACAGCUUUGCACUGGACUCUGAAUCUGUUUGUGUAGGAUAGGUGGGAGGCUAUGAAGCCGGAACGCUAGUUCUGGUGGGGCCAACCUUGAAAUACCACCCUGACAUAUUUGGGGUCCUAACCCAGGCCCGUUAUCCGGGUCGGGGACAGUGUAUGGUGGGUAGUUUGACUGGGGCGGUCUCCUCCCAAAGAGUAACGGAGGAGCACGAAGGUACCCUCAGCGUGGUCGGAAAUCACGUUUUUGAGUGCAAAGGCAUAAGGGUGCUCGACUGCGAGAGCGACGGCUCGAGCAGGUGCGAAAGCAGGUCUUAGUGAUCCGGUGGUUCUGAAUGGAAGGGCCAUCGCUCAACGGAUAAAAGGUACUCCGGGGAUAACAGGCUGAUACCGCCCAAGAGUUCAUAUCGACGGCGGUGUUUGGCACCGCGAUGUCGGCUCAUCACAUCCUGGGGCUGAAGCCGGUCCCAAGGGUAUGGCUGUUCGCCAUUUAAAGUGGUACGCGAGCUGGGUUUAGAACGUCGUGAGACAGUUCGGUCCCUAUCUGCCGUGGGCGUUGGAGAUUUGAGGAAAGCUGCUCCUAGUACGAGAGGACCGGAGUGGACGAACCUCUGGUGUUCGGGUUGUCACGCCAGUGGCAUUGCCCGGUAGCUACGUUCGGACGGGAUAACCGCUGAAAGCAUCUAAGCGGGAAGCCUCUUCCAAGAUGAGAUCUCCCCGGGGACUCGAUCCCCCUGAAGGGUUGUUCAAGACCAGGACGUUGAUAGGUGGGGUGUGUAAGCGCUGUGAGGCGUUGAGCUAACCCAUACUAAUUGCCCGUGCGGCUUGAUC
rnacentral:rRNA from 1 species